rnacentral:rRNA from 1 species
UCCGUAGGUGGCAAUCGUUAUCCGGAAUUAUUGGGCGUAAAGAGCGCGCAGGUGGUUGAUUAAGUCUGAUGUGAAAGCCCACGGCUUAACCGUGGAGGGUCAUUGGAAACUGGUCAACUUGAGUGCAGAAGAGGGAAGUGGAAUUCCAUGUGUAGCGGUGAAAUGCGUAGAGAUAUGGAGGAACACCAGUGGCGAAGGCGGCUUCCUGGUCUGUAACUGACACUGAGGCGCGAAAGCGUGGGGAGAAAACAGG